rnacentral:rRNA from 1 species
CGGUUAAGUUAGAAAGGGCGCACGGUGGAUGCCUUGGCACUAGGAGCCGAUGAAGGACGGGACGAACACCGAUAUGCUUCGGGGAGCUGUAAGCAAGCUUUGAUCCGGAGAUUUC